AACCUCUCUCUCUUCUUCCAUAGUCCAGAGAUCUGCAUGUCUUUCCUAAUUAAAAGGGAAUGGCCAAAAGGGUUAAGAUCCCUUUUUGACAGGCAGGUGCCAAAACUAGGAUUGUGUGUGUGGAUUCUUAACUAGAGGCAUGAAAUUUAUCAAAUCAGGGUACCUUCUCCAUGCCUUUGCUUCCCAUCAUUUGCAUGAACAGAAGAAAAGAAGAGCAGGGGGAGGGUGUGCAUAACCCCCUCCCCCAUUUCAGCCUGAUGGGAGUCGUUUUGCAGAAACAAAAAAAUAGAUGGUCACACAAGGAAGGUAUGGAAGUCAAUGGGAAGAUCAGCCUUUGGAGAAAAGGUUACAAUUACAGUACUGGAGUGGACCAAGGUCCAUGUCAACCACCAGGCAGCUUAUUACAAGAUUUUGAGCUGGGCCUGCCCUUUUGGUCUACUUCAAAGAACCCUGUUCUGAAUAUAGAGGGUUGAAUGGGGAGAGAGAUCUUCCUUACCUGAAAGAUUUAAAAGGGAAGGAAGGGUCGCUGAAUGCCACCCUGAACAUCUUGCUGAGGAGGGAGAAAGCUGUGCCUGCUCAAAAGUCCAUCCACUACAGAAGCUUUAUCGUCUUCAACAUUUGAUCAUCCGAGGAGGAGGAGGAGGAGGAGGAGUAGAAAGAUGGACAAAAUUAAUCAAAAUGAGGGCCACAUAUUACAAAUAAAAUGUUAAAGGAAUAUCCUGGGUCUUAAAAAGUUGAAGUCGUUUUUUUAGACUAGUGCAUGUGUUGGCUAUCUAAGAAGAGGUGGUUUUCACACCCCAACAUCUAAAUCUGCUUUAUCAGAGAUUCUCUGGCCCUGCUACCUAUAUUCCCAUUGGCCAGUGAAAAUAAUACACGAUUCCAGUAAUAAGCCAUCAAGUAAUCCAUAGAAUAUGGAACACUCAUCAUUGGAAUGUGGCUUUUAACAGUUUCUCUAUAGCCAGAAUACCAAGUACAUCUUUUCCAAGGUAAGAAAGAUAAUCUACAGUUUACAGCUUACAUCAGUCCAAACCAAGAAACAUAUUUUAAAAUAUCUAGCUUUUUAGAAGUUUUACAUAACAUUAGUAUGGUUUACUCAGCAUGGCCUCAAUAUACUAAAUCAAUAUCCCAAUAUAUUUUGGGGAAUAAGGUUUCUGAUUGUUUUAUUUUUAAAAACCCAAUAAAAAACAAGUAAAUCAGAUCCUAGCUAAAACAGCCCCACUAAAAUCAGUUUCAGGAGAUAUGGCUUCUUUUUACACUUACACCUUGAUCUGAAUCAGCAGAAUGCAUUUCAAAUAAGAUGUACAUAUGCAAUAAAAGCAAGCCGAGUCAUGUUUCCUAUUGAUACUAGAUAUAUUUCCUAAAAAGCAACUGCUUGAACUUGAUCAUUAGAUCAUGCUAAUUUAAAAGUAGAGUAUUAUUUACAGUGAUUUAUUCUCAGGCUUUCUUUUCAGGACAUUACAAAAUUUCCUCUUGCUAAAGAUACUUCGAGGAAAUAGUUUACAUCAUCAGAGUCCAGGCUGACAUAUAUAUGAAAUCGUAAACACUAAUAAGUUGAAAUACUCACUUUUCGUUUAUUAUGAUAGGCAAUGUAUAGUGCAGCAACAACAAUAGCUGUGGUCACCAAGUAGGCAAAGAAGUGGCUAUUUUCAGAUCCAUUCCUGGGUGUCUCAA